AGUGAACGCUGGCGGUGGGCCUAACACAUGCAAGUCGAACGGCAGCACAGUAAGAGCUUGCUCUUACGGGUGGCGAGUGGCGGACGGGUGAGGAAUACAUCGGAAUCUACUUUUUCGUGGGGGAUAACGUAGGGAAACUUACGCUAAUACCGCAUACGACCUACGGGUGAAAGCAGGGGAUCUUCGGACCUUGCGCGAUUGAAUGAGCCGAUGUCGGAUUAGCUAGUUGGCGGGGUAAAGGCCCACCAAGGCGACGAUCCGUAGCUGGUCUGAGAGGAUGAUCAGCCACAUGGGAACUGAGACACGGUCAAGACUCCUACGGGAGGCAGCAGUGGGGAAUAUUGGACAAUAGGCGCAAGCAUGAUCCAGCCAUACCGCGUGGGUGAAGAAGGCCUUCGGGUUGUAAAGCCCUUUUGUUGGGAAAGAAAAGCAGCAGGUUAAUACCCCGCUGUUCUGACGGUACCCAAAGAAUAAGCACCGGCUAACUUCGUG
rnacentral:rRNA from 1 species